rnacentral:rRNA from 1 species
UACGGAGGGUGCAAGCAUUAAUCGGAUUUAUUGGGCGUAAAGAGCGUGUAGGCGGCUUGGUAGGUCUUGCGUCAAAACCUGAGGCUCAACCUCAGUUCGCGUGGGAAACCACCUAGCUAGAGUCCGGAAGAGGAGAACGGAAUUCCCAGUGUAGCGGUGAAAUGCGCAGAUAUUGGGAAGAACACCAGUGGCGAAGGCGGUUCUCUGGGACGGUACUGACGCUGAGACGCGAAAGCGUGGGGAGCGAACAGG